rnacentral:lncRNA from 1 species
UAAACCUUAGGAAGAAAGUAAUAUGCAUUUUAAACACAGGAUUGAGGAAAUCAAUUGAGGGCAUCUUUUUGUUUAAAGGCAAUAUUUUUUUUAAAUGAGGUGGUAGGGAAAAAACCCCAAACAACUGUUUUUUCUAACGCUAAUGUCAGUGGCAGCAACAUCAGUUUUAGUUCAGUGCUAGAGUAGAACCUUUCCUCAUGAAGCCUUAGGUAGAACUCCAGUGUAUAAAACUGACCUUAUGGGGUUGCUCUGAUUUAUAUAAGGGCCUGAGGCUUACACAUGGUCAUCUUUCUGCUGACAUUUAUAGUAUCCUUUAAGGAACUAUAAUUAGAAAAUCCCUAUUCUGGAGCAUGUAUCGCUGCUGUGGCCAUCUUCAUUUUGGGGGAUUUGGGUUUCUUAGGAAAAGCCUUAAGUUUUUUCUUUA